AUGCACUUUAUAAACGAAUAAAUCGCAUGGCAUAUAGCAGCUGCCGCAUAUUACGGUCAAUAAAGUGAGCGUCACUUUAAUGAAAAUAACUUUAUUCUGGAUAUCACUGUAUAAAUACGCUACUUGUAUCCCAUUAGUAAUGUAAAAUAGAAUCACUCUUCUUCUAUUGGUUUGAAACAUAUCUUUCUCAAUAACAUGAAUGAGCCUCCAAAGUACGCUUAUCCUUACCCUGCUCAAGGAUAUUAUCAAGGUCCACCAGUGAUGCCUCCCCCCCCCCCCCAAUACUACACAGCACCUCCCCCUAGAAGGGACCCUGGCUUUCUUGAGGGUUGUCUGGCAGCUCUGUGUUGCUGUUGCCUCAUCGAUAAGUGUUGCUGCGACCCUUCCAUCAUCUUCAUGUGCUGAUCUUCCAUUGCUACUCUGCCUGCAGUACUGUUCAAAAUGUACAAUUUGUGCACUUUUCUAACAGAUCUAUAUAUAUUUAUGUAGUUAUCUUCAUUUGUGAGGCCAUGCAUCAAAUGUUUGGUCCCUUGCUGGCAUAAACGUACGCAACACGCACAGAUCCUUCAGUUAUGAUUUGUUGCUAUCGUUCAACUAAUAUUUGUUCUCGCAUAUUAACCUAUUUAUCCCUCUCUUUUUCUUCUACAAAGAUGUCAAUCAAAAGAGUGGCUACAACCACCAAAAAAAAUAAAUGUGUUUUACAACUUUAAUUAAACAGGUUCA